GAUUGGCAUCGUUGCAGGCCACCCCGCCGCUCGACCUCGCCUCACACCAGAGGCGACCACCACCAUCCUCUCCGCUCCCUCCCCUCUCCCAACCCGAUAUAGAUGCCUAACCCGCGGGAACCGGCAGGCGGACAGCGGGUAAAACGAGGCACGGUGGUGGCUCGAGGAAGACGGCAGAUGUGUGCGCAGCGUCGCCGAUCUGGCGGGUGGUGCGGCGGCUUGUUCCGGUGCCAGCGGCGUCCUGCUCAUCCAGAGAAGGAGAGACAAGGGCCUGAGGGAGAGAGGAGACAAAGGAAGAAAGGAGAAGGAGAAGGGGCGCACGCAGGGUGAGGGAGGCAGUCGCCGGCGAUGGCAGCUCCGGUGACUGACCGACAGGCUUGCUGCCAAAUCGCGCCCAUCGGGCCACGCUCUGCGCUGGCUACGCCGACUGCCGCGUGCCGCCGAACGGCGGCGGUGGAGCCUCCAUCGUGGAGGAUUACACCGGCUGCCCCGCGCUUUCCGAGAUCCUCCGCAUCCUCCCGAUGAAGCGUCGUCGUCGCAGGAGGACUUUGAUGCCUCGAUCACCGGCAACCUCCUCCAAAUCCUACAGGAGGUCCAGAUGUGUAUAUCAAGGACGCACAGAUCCAUUGGCCUGCGUACCACACAUCCCUUCACUAAUUCCAUCGGUGUCAUUCUUAACAAGGUAAGUAUGAUUCCCCCAUCCAUUAUUUUCUUAAUUGAUCUUUGAUCCUUGAUAUGCCUAAUGUCCUUACAUUUUAUUGAUUCUAUAAACGAUCUCAAACAGGAAUAUACCAAGAUUUGGAUGGAACCAAUUUUUAGGCCACAAUUCCUAUAACUUUCCUUGUCAAUUUGAUAAAAUUAGAUGUGUGAUGGAGGUUGUAACCUAUUACGGUUUACAUUGUCAGAAUUCUUCAAGACCCUUUGUCGAUCCUCACUAUCUUUGAAACAAUCUGAUUUCUGUGUCAUUGCUAAACAUAUGUAUAUAUUUGGUGUGCUGGAUUUUCUGAUGUAUAUGCUAUAUAAGAGGAAGCUAUUCGACAAUCCUUCCCAAGUUGGUACAGAUUAACUCGAUUUUAUUCAGUAAAUAUUUAUGCUUGAUAGAUACAAGCCUUCCUCUUUUGCCCUUCUUUUCUCCAUCCUCUGUAGGUCUCCAGCACAUGUGAAUCAUUGUCGUCAAGAGCAUGCUUGUGACAUCAUUACAAUACGUGAUGCAGGGCAAAAGGAUGUUGUCAGGAAUAAAAACAAAUUUAAUCAUUUCCUAUUCUUUUUCCUUGCCUGUUUUCGCCGUUAUAUACACUGUAUUUCCCAUUGUAAUGCACAGCCAAAUUUGUAUUCUUCAAAGUUUUAGUCAUCUCUGCUACAACUAAGUGUUCAAUUGCAAUCUCUAGCCAAGUUCCCUUUGUUGUUGUGUUAAAUUUCAGGAAAGGCGGCCAAGCAGCUCGUGGCAGCCGUGUCGCGUCUACUCCACCGCUGCCUUGACUUGCCGACGACGUCGCUGGUUGGGCCGCAGGGGGGCAAGAUCGUCGUGGGACCCAUUGCCAUGGGCGCCGAGUAUGCUUGAUUGCCAUGUCAGAGGCAAAGGUCCUAGAGCUUGGUGUCGUCGAACAUUAGCUGGAUUGGUUCAUGGAUAUGCAGUGUGACAAGUCAUGUGAGAUGAAGGUAGUGAACUGUCUCAAUGUGAAGCCAAGUAUGUGAAGGAUAUGCCAUGGAUGAUGUGGACAGAGAUAAUGCAAAAAUUGCUUGCCAAUAGGCAGCUGGGCGCAUGCAUAAUUGUCGAGGAGGCCGAAGCCAGCGCUAUUCUGGUUUGACUGAAUAACGUAUUCUGAGGCUCCCUUGUGGUGGAGAUCGACUAUGCAGUGGGGAAAGGAGCUAGGGGCUGAUUCGUAAGCAGAACAUUGUCCUACCCAAUUAUUGUUGAUAUUAAAUCUGCAUUGAGUAAAUAUCACAUCAGGGCUGUCGGAAGGACAAACAAUGGGCUGGAUCAUGAACUAGCCAACGUUUCCAAAGCUCAUGGAGACUUUGUGGUUGAGGAUGAUGUCCCGGACCAUGAUCUGCUCCGGAAGGAAAACGAUGCAGCCUUGGCGUCGGUAUCAGGCAUUUUGAUGGAUGUAAAGCAGACUUGAUUGUCUGUGAUGGCGCCCCUGAUAUUACUGGACUUCAUGAUAUGGACGAGUUUGUUCUGUCCCAGCUUAUAUAGGCGGUUGGUAUAUUUUUCUCUUUCUCUGCGUCAAUUUAGAUCAGAGAUACUUUUUGGAAGUAAUUUGCAGUAUCCAUAAGAUGCAGUGUCCAAAAAUAAUGCUACCUUAACCCUGUAGUUUAUGCUUAGUAUUCUACCUUAAAAUGUUUACUUUCGGUGCAUUAGCUUCUUUGGAUUUUAAUAAUGAACAUUGGACCAUUUUUACUCAACCUUUGGAUAAUUUUUUGUUGUUUAUGUUGUAGAACAACAUGGUGUAACACUAUGGUUCCACUAACUUGAUAUAUUUUCCACUAAUGUCCUUCCUGCUUCCAUCUACCUUGCUGCCCCAUCUCUCCUCUACCAAAUUCCAGCUUCAUGGUGGAUUCAUCUACAGGAAUCCACACCUACGGCAGUUCUCCUAGAAACCAUCUGCCUGAAGUUCAUCUCCCUACCACUCCAUUUUGUGUCAGAACAGAGAAUUGUUACAGUUGAGAUCAUAGACAAAUCUUAUGUUGCAACAACAAGUUUGGAGGUUGUGCUGAGAAUUAAAAUGUCAAGCUUCAAAAAAUAGAUGCUUCAAGUAUUUAAUCUCUUUCAAAUACUCUUAUCAUGUUCCUUUCAGUGGUUAGAUCCCACAACUAAGAUAUGUUUGCUUCACACUCAUGCUUGUAAUACGCCUAUAUGGUUCCUUAUUUCAUCAUGUCCACGUUUGUAAUUCUCUGGUGCAGCA